GGCGGUUUGGUGUAGUGGCCCAGCACGUCCUCACAAUACAAGUUCGUUUAGCCUCUGUGAAGCCCACAUUCAGCUAUCCCCUGACGGCGGAACCUCCUGCAAAGUCUCGCGGUAGACUUGUGAUGUCGCGUCGAACAGAGCUAAUAUGUCCCAGAUGGUACUGGCAGAGAAAGACCUUGGUUCGAGUCCAAGUACCGUCA
rnacentral:tRNA from 1 species